GUCGAGCGAACAGAUGAGGAGCUUGCUCCUUGAGACGUUAGCGGCGGACGGGUGAGUAACACGUGGGCAACCUGCCCUAUAGUUUGGGAUAACUCGCGGAAACGUGAGCUAAUACCGAAUAAUACAUUUCAUCUCCUGAUGGAAUGUUGAAAGAUGGUUUUUCGCUAUCGCUAUAGGAUGGGCCCGCGGCGCAUUAGCUAGUAGGUGAGGUAACGGCUCACCUAGGCAACGAUGCGUAGCCGACCUGAGAGGGUGAUCGGCCACACUGGGACUGAGACACGGCCCAGACUCCUACGGGAGGCAGCAGUAGGGAAUCUUCCACAAUGGACGAAAGUCUGAUGGAGCAACGCCGCGUGAGUGAAGAAGGUUUUCGGAUCGUAAAACUCUGUUGUAAGGGAAGAACAAGUACAGUAGUAACUGGCUGUACCUUGACGGUACCUUAUUAGAAAGCCACGGCUAACUACGUGCCAGCAGCCGCGGUAAUACGUAGGUGGCAAGCGUUGUCCGGAAUUAUUGGGCGUAAAGCGCGCGCAGGCGGUCCUUUAAGUCUGAUGUGAAAUCACGUGGCUCAACCACGUGCGGUCAUUGGAAACUGGAGGACUUGAGUGCAGAAGAGGA
rnacentral:rRNA from 1 species